rnacentral:tRNA from 1 species
GCGGAAAUAGCUCAGUUGGUAGAGCGGCGGCUUCCCAAGCCGCAGGUCGCGAGUUCGAGCCUCGUUUUCCGCU